AUUGAACGCUGGCGGCAUGCUUUACACAUGCAAGUCGAACGGUAACAGGCCGCAAGGUGCUGACGAGUGUCGAACGGGGGAGUAAUGCAUCGGAACGGGCCCAGUCGUGGUGGAUAACUACUCGAAAGGGGAGCUAAUACCGCAUACGAUCUAUGGAUUAAAGCGGGGGACCGUAAAGCCUCGCGCGAUUGUAGCGGCCGAUUUCAGAUUAGGUAGUGGGUGGGGUAAAGGCUCACCAAGCCAAGGAUUUGUAGCUGGUCUGAGAGGAGGACCAGCCACACUGGGACUGAGACACGGCCCAGACUCCUACGGGAGGCAGCAGUGGGGAAUCUUGGACAAUGGGCGCAAGCCUGAUCCAGCAAUGCCGCGUGCAGGAAGAAGGCCUUCGGGUUGUAAAAUGCUUUUGUACGGAACGAAAAGGUUCUGGUUAAUACCCGGGGAUAAUGACGGUACCGUAAGAAUAAGCCCCGGCUAACUACGAG
rnacentral:rRNA from 1 species